GGGAGAGAAAGAUUCUUCGAAGAGAGCAUAUUUAUAUCUGAAAAAGGCAAGAGCGUCAAUGUGAGAAUAAGGGUUGUAAUCAACUAACGAAGCACCUAGGUGGCGGGAAGGAAACGUUGUGCAGACUGUUCCCUAAGAACAGUGGCUUGGUCGUUUCGGGCAGAGGGGAGAAGUGCAUUGGAUACAGAGCACAGCAGGGUUUAAGAUUGCCAGCAAACCAUGAGAAGCUAGGAGAAAGGAAUGGAACCGCUUCUCCUUCACAUUCCUCAGAAGGAACCAACCCUGCAGACACCUUGAUCUUGGACUUCAAGCCUCCAGAACUAGCAAAGGCUGUGUGAAGAAAUGGCGAGAAGGUGGCCAUCUGCAACCCAAGGAGAGAGCCGUCACUACACACUGACCCUGCUGGUACCUGGAUCCUAAACAUCCAGUCUCCAGAGCUGUGCGAAAUAAAUUCCUGUUGGUUAAGCCACCCAGUCUAUGGUAUUUUGUUAUGGCAGCCUGAGCUGGCUGAAACAAAGCUCAACUGGUAUGAAGGUCCAUUG
rnacentral:lncRNA from 1 species